CCUGGCUCAGAUUGAACGCUGGCGGCAUGCCUUACACAUGCAAGUCGAACGGCAGCGGACCUUCGGGUGCCGGCGAGUGGCGAACGGGUGAGUAAUAUAUCGGAACGUACCUUUCAGUGGGGGAUAACGUAGCGAAAGUUACGCUAAUACCGCAUAUUCUGUGAGCAGGAAAGCAGGGGGAUCGCAAGACCUUGCGCUGAUUGAGCGGCCGAUAUCAGAUUAGCUAGUUGGUGAGGUAAAGGCUCACCAAGGCGACGAUCUGUAGCGGGUCUGAGAGGAUGAUCCGCCACACUGGAACUGAGACACGGUCCAGACUCCUACGGGAGGCAGCAGUGGGGAAUUUUGGACAAUGGGCGCAAGCCUGAUCCAGCCAUGCCGCGUGAGUGAAGAAGGCCUUCGGGUUGUAAAGCUCUUUCGGCCGGGAAGAAAUCGCACAGGUUAAUACCCUGUGUGGAUGACGGUACCGGAAUAAGAAGCACCGGCUAACUACGUG
rnacentral:rRNA from 1 species